rnacentral:tRNA from 1 species
CCCUGUAGCUCAGUUGGUAGAGCAUGGUGUUUGCAACGCCAGGGUUGUGGGUUCGAUUCUCACAGGGG